GCUAAGCCAUCGUAGACUAUUUCAGUAUUUCUAAAAAAAUUCUAUCUUUGGAUCCCUUUGCCUUUUUUUCCCCCAACGAAGAGCAAAGGCCGGUGCGAGCAAUGGGUUUCUUUUCGUUUCUUGGAAGACUGUUAUUCGCUUCCCUCUUCAUCCUCUCUGCAUGGCAAAUGUAAAAAAACCUUUCUUGCUCUAUCUGUGUGUGUACAGAUCUGUUAUUACUUAUUAUGCAUAUUUCUGUAUAUGUAUGUAUAAUUGUUAAUCCAUCUUUUUAUAUUUGAUUUAUUAACUUUGUUUUGUAUGGUCGGAUCUAGUUCUUGUUUGAAGGAAAAAUAGAAAUAAAGAAAAAGAAAUCGAAAAUCCCAGCUUCUGAUUUUUUUCAGUCUGUAAUUUGUCUAUGUUAUGUGUUAUUAGUACACUGAAAAAUAUUGAUUAUGAUAUGGUUAAUAUUUCUUAUUUAUUGUACCCUUUUCGGGUCAAGUAGGAGGAGAUCCUUUUCCAGGAAAGACACAAUACUUCAUAGCUGCAAUGGGUAUGGGUAGAAAUCAUAAAUGGGCUCCCUUGCCUUUUCAUAUUUUACAUAUUUUUAGAAUUGCUUUUCUGAUUUUUGAACAAAUAUUAACGAGGGAUGAUUUCUACCUAAAUAUAAUUUAUCAUUUGUUAUAAAAGCAAAAUAAUGAUAAAAAACUAAUGUUGGCUUUGAAGAUUUUCUUUUUCAUUAGUUUUCAGUGAAGUCCACAAGUUUCUAAACUAGGACCAGAUAACCCAAAUUUGGUGUUUGUCUUGUUUUUCAUUAUAAAUUCCUUUAGUUCAACAUUUGCAAUAUUCUACAAAACCAGCCUCGCUAUUAAGGUUCAUAAAUCUAAACAAACAUUUCAAAGUUAUUGCCGCCUUUGACUUUUAUACGAGGACUCCAUCAUGGUCGAGACACUUUAUCUGAGUAUUCCAGUGAAUGUUUGGCUAACUAGCUUAAAAAAUCACUUAUUAGUGAAAAGCAAGUUUUAGAAUAUCUUUUUGAAGAUUCUUUGCAUCCUUCUAAUGGUAAGGAAUGAUAAAUAUUAGCUUAGAUUAAGAUAUGUGUUGGCAUUUGGAAAUUUUCAUUCAGAUUCUGCCUUGUAAUAGCAGUCAAAUUGUGACAGCCUUCCAUCUUUGUAAAUUGCCGAGAGAAAUCACCCGCAUAUUAUUGAAAACACACGACCGUUAUUCCUUUUCUACUGAAAACACUUUUUUAAAUGGUAUUUCUUCUAAGAAACACGGAUGUUUAAUUCUUUACACCACUCACCCUACCCCUAACCCCAUCAAAAUGUUUAUUUAUCUGUGUAGAUAGAUGUAUUCAUUUGCAAUGAUUUACAUGCAUCGUAAUGUUCGCAACAAUUGUUUAAGAAGAAUUCAGUUAACAAAGGACUAAAAUUUAUUAUGGUUUGAUAAGAUUAUAGUGAAUUUGAUUUAUCUUUGUGUGGAUAGUAAUGGAUUUUUAUAACCCUGAGGGUAGCUUAAUGGUCAUGUCUUGUAUUUGCUCCUUAAUGGUCACCAGUUCGAGUCCCCUUAGAG
rnacentral:lncRNA from 1 species